GUGUCAAUUAAAAGGAGAUACUUUUAGCACUCCCCUUGACAAGCAUAGAACUCAAAAAAUGGUUAAGGUAAAUCUUAACUACAUUUUGC